rnacentral:rRNA from 1 species
ACUCCUACGGGAGGCAGCAGUGGGGAAUAUUGCACAAUGGGCGCAAGCCUGAUGCAGCCAUGCCGCGUGUAUGAAGAAGGCCUUCGGGUUGUAAAGUACUUCCAGCGGGGAGGAAGGGAGUAAAGUUAAUACCUUUGCUCAUUGACGUUACCCGCAGAAGAAGCACCGGCUAACUCCGUGCCAGCAGCCGCGGUAAUACA